rnacentral:rRNA from 1 species
GGUUAAGUGAAUAAGGGCGCACGGUGGAUGCCUUGGCACUAGGAGCCGAUGAAGGACGGGACUAACACCGAUAUGCUUUGGGGAGCUGUACGUAAGCUAUGAUCCAGAGAUUUCCGAAUGGGGGAACCCAACAUCUUUAAUAGGAUGUUACGAUUGUGUGAAUACAUAGCACAUUCGAGGUAGACGCAGAGAACUGAAACAUCUAAGUACCUGCAGGAAGAGAAAGAAAAUUCGAUUCCCUGAGUAGCGGCGAGCGAAACGGGAAAAGCCCAAACCAGCAAGCUUGCUUGUUGGGGUUGUAGGACUCCAAUAUGGUAGUUCUUUCAGAUAGUCGAAUGACUUGGAAAAGUCAGUCAAAGAGGGUAAAAACCCCGUAGACGAAAUGUGGAAGACACCUAGGAGGAUCCUGAGUACGGCGGAACACGAGAAAUUCCGUCGGAAUCCGGGAGGACCAUCUCCCAAGGCUAAAUACUCCCUAGUGACCGAUAGUGAACCAGUACCGUGAGGGAAAGGUGAAAAGCACCCCGGAAGGGGAGUGAAAUAGAACCUGAAACCGUGUGCCUACAACAAGUCAAAGCCCGUUAAUGGGUGAUGGCGUGCCUUUUGUAGAAUGAACCGGCGAGUUACGAUUGCAUGCGAGGUUAAGUUGAAGAGACGGAGCCGCAGCGAAAGCGAGUCUGAAUAGGGCGUUUGAGUAUGUAGUCGUAGACCCGAAACCAUGUGAUCUACCCAUGUCCAGGUUGAAGGUGCGGUAAAACGCACUGGAGGACCGAACCCACGUACGUUGAAAAGUGCGGGGAUGAGGUGUGGGUAGCGGAGAAAUUCCAAACGAACUUGGAGAUAGCUGGUUCUCUCCGAAAUAGCUUUAGGGCUAGCCUCGGAAUUGAGAAUGAUGGAGGUAGAGCACUGUUUGGACUAGGGGCCCAUCUCGGGUUACCGAAUUCAGAUAAACUCCGAAUGCCAUUCAUUCAUAUCCGGGAGUCAGACUGUGAGUGAUAAGAUCCAUAGUCGAAAGGGAAACAGCCCAGACCACCAGCUAAGGUCCCAAAAUAUAUGUUAAGUGGAAAAGGAUGUGGGGUUGCACAGACAACUAGGAUGUUGGCUUAGAAGCAGCCACCAUUUAAAGAGUGCGUAAUAGCUCACUAGUCGAGUGACCCUGCGCCGAAAAUGUACCGGGGCUAAACAUAUUACCGAAGCUGUGGAGUACACCUUUAGGUGUAUUGGUAGGAGAGCGUUCUAAGGGCGUUGAAGGCAGAUCGUGAGGACUGCUGGAGCGCUUAGAAGUGAGAAUGCCGGUAUGAGUAGCGAAAGACAGGUGAGAAUCCUGUCCACCGAAUGACUAAGGUUUCCUGGGGAAGGCUCGUCCGCCCAGGGUUAGUCGGGACCUAAGCCGAGGCCGACAGGCGUAGGCGAUGGAUAACAGGUUGAUAUUCCUGUACCCGUUGUUUUUGUUUGAGCAAUGGAGGGACGCAGGAGGCUAAGGAAUGCAGAUGAUCGGAAAUGUCUGUCCAAGCAGUAAGUCUGAAGAGGAGUCAAAUGCUUCUUUUCUUAAGGACAAGCUGUGAUGGGGAGGGAAAUAAUAGUACCGAAGUUCCUGAUGUCACACUGCCGAGAAAAGCUUCUAGUGAGAAAACAGCGGCCCGUACCGCAAACCGACACAGGUAGUCGAGGAGAGAAUCCUAAGGUGAGCGAGAGAACUCUCGUUAAGGAACUCGGCAAAAUGACCCCGUAACUUCGGGAGAAGGGGUGCUGAUCAUACGAUCAGCCGCAGUGAAUAGGCCCAAGCGACUGUUUAUCAAAAACACAGGUCUCUGCAAAAUCGUAAGAUGAAGUAUAGGGGCUGACGCCUGCCCGGUGCUGGAAGGUUAAGAGGAGUGCUUAGCGCAAGCGAAGGUACGAAUUGAAGCCCCAGUAAACGGCGGCCGUAACUAUAACGGUCCUAAGGUAGCGAAAUUCCUUGUCGGGUAAGUUCCGACCCGCACGAAAGGCGUAACGAUUUGGGCACUGUCUCAACGAGAGACUCGGUGAAAUUUUAGUACCUGUGAAGAUGCAGGUUACCCGCGACAGGACGGAAAGACCCCAUGGAGCUUUACUGUAGUUUGAUAUUGAGUGUCUGUACCGCAUGUACAGGAUAGGUAGGAGCCGUAGAAAUCGGAACGCUAGUUUCGAUGGAGGCGCUGGUGGGAUACUACCCCUGCGUUAUGGC